AAAGAUUCCUAGACAGUCCUAAAGAUUCAAUCCAGAGGGAAUAAAUGGACAGCAGAAGGGGAUUGCAUGAUGAAAAUAUUAACACAUUAGAAGAUGAAGAAUUGUCGGUAGAUGGGAUAUUUGAGAACAAGGAGAUACCUUCAUGGACAGAACAGUUAACUAUAAGAGCUUUUGUGUUGUCGGUGAUGUUAUGCUUCAUAGUGAUGAAACUCAACUUCAGUGUUAGUACUAUACCAUCAUUUAUUGUCGCUUAUGCUUUAUUGGGAUUCUUCUUUGUCAAGAUUUUAAUUAUAUCAUACUACACCAAAAAUCACCUUUUGUAACGGUCAAAAAACGUUGUCAAAGAUCUAUUGCAACGUUCAUGCGUCUAUUGUGGGUUCAGAUGUUGCCGUAGAAUGAAGAGUUUUGGCAACAUUUAUUGAACGUUGCAAAUCAGGAUUUUGAACGUUGCGAAUGAGUUUUGACAACAUUUACCGAACGUUGCGAAUGAGAGUUUUGGC
rnacentral:lncRNA from 1 species